rnacentral:rRNA from 1 species
AGCGAACGCUGGCGGCAGGCUUAACACAUGCAAGUCGAGCGCCGUAGCAAUACGGAGCGGCAGACGGGUGAGUAACACGUGGGAACGUACCUCUUGGUUCGGAACAACACAGGGAAACUUGUGCUAAUACCGGAUAAGCCCUUACGGGGAAUGAUUUAUCGCCGAGAGAUCGGCCCGCGUCUGAUUAGCUAGUUGGUGAGGUAACGGCUCACCAAGGCGACGAUCAGUAGCNGGUCUGAGAGGAUGAUCAGCCACACUGGGACUGAGACACGGCCCAGACUCCUACGGGAGGCAGCAGUGGGGAAUAUUGGACAAUGGGCGCAAGCCUGAUCCAGCCAUGCCGCGUGAGUGAUGAAGGCCCUAGGGUUGU